rnacentral:rRNA from 1 species
UUUAAAGUCUAAUCUGCCCACUGAGGAUUUAAAUGGCCGCGGUAUUUUGACCGUGCAAAGGUAGCAUAAUAAUUAGUUUUUUAAUUGAAAGCUGGAAUGAAUGAUUGGACGAGAGAGUUACUGUCUCAAUUUAAUUUAAUUAGAAUUUUAUUUUUAAGUAAAAAAGCUUAAAUUUUAUUAAAAGACGAGAAGACCCUAUAGAGUUUAAUUAUUUUUUUAUAUUAAAUAUAAAGGAUUAUUAUUUUAUUAUAAGUGGAAUAAUUUUGUUGGGGCGAUAGAAAAAUUAAAUUAACUUUUUUUAUAUUAAAUCAUUAAUUGAUGUUUAAAUGAUCCAUUUUUUAUGAUUAAAAGACUAAAUUACCUUAGGGAUAACAGCGUAAUUAUUUUUGAGAGUUCUUAUCGAAAAAAUAGUUUGCGACCUCGAUGUUGGAUUAAAAUUAAUUUUUGGUGUAGAAGCUAAAAUAUUGGGUCUGUUCGACCUUUAAAAUUUUACAUGAUCUGAGUUUAAACCGGUGUAAGCCAGGUUGGUUUCUAUCUUUAAUAUAUUAAAAUAUUUUAGUACGAAAGGACCGAAUAUUUAUAAUAAUUAUUUAUAUAAGAAUUUUAUUAAUA